rnacentral:rRNA from 1 species
GCUAAGAAUAUUCCGCAAUGGACGAAAGUCUGACGGAGCGACGCCGCGUGGAUGAGGAAGGCCGAAAGGUUGUAAAGUCCUUUUGUCGAUGAAGAAUAAGUGGUGGAGGGAAUGCCAUCAUGAUGACGUUAGUCGGCGAAUAAGCCCCGGCUAAUUACGUGCCAGCAGCCGCGGUAACACGUAAGGGGCAAGCGUUGUUCGGAAUUAUUGGGCGUAAAGGGUACGUAGGCGGUUAUGUAAGCCCGGCGUGAAAUCCUGCAGCUUAACUGUAGAGCUGCGCUGGGAACUGCGUAACUUGAGUCAUGGAAGGGAAGUUAGAAUUCCAGGUGUAGGGGUGAAAUCUGUAGAUAUCUGGAAGAAUACCGGUGGCGAAGGCGAACUUCUGGCCAAUGACUGACGCUGAGGUACGAAAGUGCGGGGAGCAAACAGGAUUAGAUACCCCAGUAGUCC